GUAAACUACCCACCACGGAUUGCUAAAAGCAAUAUAGUGGGGGCUUUCAAAGCCCAGAGUUUACCCGACUAAGUGUUUCGCGCACUACGAUUUUAAGGUCAUCUUACCUGGGAAUGCGUAGCCAGUUCCCAGCACUAGG
rnacentral:sRNA from 14 species